rnacentral:rRNA from 1 species
CGGUGAAAGCGUAGAUAUUAGGAAGAACACCAGUGGCGAAGGCGACUUACUGGACCGUAACUGACGCUGGGGCAUGAAAGCGUGGGUAGCAAACAGGAUUAGAUACCCUGGUAGUCCACGCCGUAAACGAUGAGUACUAGGUGUAGGAGGUAUCGACCCCUUCUGUGCCGCAGUUAACACAAUAAGUACUCCGCCUGGGAAGUACGAUCGCAAGAUUAAAACUCAAAGGAAUUGACGGGGGCCCGCACAAGCAGCGGAGCAUGUGGUUUAAUUCG